rnacentral:rRNA from 1 species
AACGAACGCUGGCGGCAUGCCUAACACAUGCAAGUCGAACGAAACCUUCGGGUCUAGUGGCGCACGGGUGCGUCACGCGUGGGAACCUGCCCUUAGGUUCGGCAUAACUCCCCGAAAGGGGUGCUAAUACCGGAUAAUGUCUUCGGACCAAAGAUUUAUCGCCUUUGGUUGGGCCCGCGUUGGAUUAGCUGGUUGGUAGGGUAAAAGCCUACCACGGCGACGAUCCAUAGCUGGUCUGAGAGGAUGAUCAGCCACACUGGGACUGAGACACGGCCCAGACUCCUACGGGAGGCAGGAGUGGGGAAUAUAGGACAAUGGGCGAAGGCCUGAUCCAGCAAGGCCGCGUGAGUGAUGAAGGCCGUAGGGAUGAAAAGCUUUUUUACCCGGGAUGAUAAUGACAGUACCGGGAGAAUAAGCUCCGGCUAACUACGUG